rnacentral:rRNA from 1 species
CGCAGAAUAGCUGUUGACAUUAUAGUUGCGCAGGCACUUUGUUGACUCAAGAGAACCUCGGGCCAAUCGCACAUCCCCGUGACGGCGACUUUGCAUUUGGAUGUCAUCCAUAUCAACAUUCGAUGCCAGAUUCUGCGCCUACCAUGGUGACCACGGGUAACGGGGUAUCAGGGUUCCAUUCCGUACAGGGACCUUGAGAAACGGCUACCACAUGCAAGGAAGGCAGCAGGCGCGCAAAUGACCCACUCCCGACGCGGAAAGGUAGUGACG